UAAAGUUUGAAGCAACACUAUUAUUAUGUUGACAAGGUGAAGCGAAAGCACAAAAUAAUAACUUUUAUUCGCAAGACAAUCUACUGUUUUGCUUUGAAUAACAUAUUUGCGAAUUGGGAAUGAGGAUUUUGAAAUUAUUGUUCAAAUAUUACGGAUAUACCAUUUGUAAACAAUGUACUUUUUAUAUACAGUACUGUACGGGC